rnacentral:rRNA from 1 species
CCUACGGGUGGCAGCAGUGAGGAAUAUUGGUCAAUGGGCGCGAGCCUGAACCAGCCAAGUCGCGUGAGGGAUGAAGGUUCUAUGGAUCGUAAACCUCUUUUAUAAGGGAAUAAAGUGUGGGACGUGUCCUAUUUUGUAUGUACCUUAUGAAUAAGGAUCGGCUAACUCCGUGCCAGCGGCCGCGGUAAUACGGAGGAUCCGAGCGUUAUCCGGAUUUAUUGGGUUUAACGGGCGCGUAGGCGGCCUUUUAAGUCAGCGGUGAAAGUCUGUGGCUCAACCAGAGAAUUGCCGUUGAAACUGGGUGGCUUGAGUAUGUUUGAGGCAGGCGGAAUGCGUGGUGUAGCGGUGAAAUGCUUAGAUAUCACGAAGAACCCCGAUUGCGAAGGCAGCCUGCCAAGCCAUGACUGACGCUGAUGCACGAAAGCGUGGGGAUCAAACAGGAUUAGAUACCCCAGUAGUC